CCUAGGGGAGGCUGCAGUGGGGAAUAUUGGACAAUGGGCGAAAGCCUGAUCCAGCCAUGCCGCGUGUGUGAAGAAGGCCUUCGGGUUGUAAAGCACUUUCAGUGGGGAAGAAAGCCUUGGGGCUAAUACCCUCGAGGAAGGACAUCACCCACAGAAGAAGCACCGGCUAACUCCGUGCCAGCAGCCGCGGUAAUACGGAGGGUGCGAGCGUUAAUCGGAAUUACUGGGCGUAAAGCGCGCGUAGGCGGUCUGAUAAGCCGGUUGUGAAAGCCCCGGGCUCAACCUGGGAACGGCAUCCGGAACUGUCAGGCUAGAGUGCAGGAGAGGAAGGUAGAAUUCCCGGUGUAGCGGUGAAAUGCGUAGAGAUCGGGAGGAAUACCAGUGGCGAAGGCGGCCUUCUGGACUGACACUGACGCUGAGGUGCGAAAGCGUGGGUAGCAAACAGGAUUAGAUACCCUUGUAGUC
rnacentral:rRNA from 1 species